CAUGCAAGUCGAACGGUAACAGGAAGCAGCUUGCUGCUUCGCUGACGAGUGGCGGACGGGUGAGUAAUGUCUGGGAAACUGCCUGAUGGAGGGGGAUAACUACUGGAAACGGUGGCUAAUACCGCAUAACGUCGCAAGACCAAAGAGGGGGACCUUCGGGCCUCUUGCCAUCAGAUGUGCCCAGAUGGGAUUAGCUAGUUGGUGAGGUAACGGCUCACCAAGGCGACGAUCCCUAGCUGGUCUGAGAGGAUGACCAGCCACACUGGAACUGAGACACGGUCCAGACUCCUACGGGAGGCAGCAGUGGGGAAUAUUGCACAAUGGGCGCAAGCCUGAUGCAGCCAUGCCGCGUGUAUGAAGAAGGCCUUCGGGUUGUAAAGUACUUUCAGCGGGGAGGAAGGUGUUGUGGUUAAUAACCGCAGCAAUUGACGUUACCCGCAGAAGAAGCACCGGCUAACUCCGUGCCAGCAGCCGCGGUAAUACGGAGGGUGCAAGCGUUAAUCGGAAUUACUGGGCGUAAAGCGCACGCAGGCGGUCUGUCAAGUCGGAUGUGAAAUCCCCGGGCUCAACCUGGGAACUGCAUUCGAAACUGGCAGGCUUGAGUCUUGUAGAGGGGGGUAGAAUUCCAGGUGUAGCGGUGAAAUGCGUAGAGAUCUGGAGGAAUACCGGUGGCGAAGGCGGCCCCCUGGACAAAGACUGACGCUCAGGUGCGAAAGCGUGGGGAGCAAACAGGAUUAGAUACCCUGGUAGUCCACGCCGUAAACGAUGUCUACUUGGAGGUUGUGCCCUUGAGGCGUGGCUUCCGGAGCUAACGCGUUAAGUAGACCGCCUGGGGAGUACGGCCGCAAGGUUAAAACUCAAAUGAAUUGACGGGGGCCCGCACAAGCGGUGGAGCAUGUGGUUUAAUUCGAUGCAACGCGAAGAACCUUACCUGGUCUUGACAUCCACAGAACUUUCCAGAGAUGGAUUGGUGCCUUCGGGAACUGUGAGACAGGUGCUGCAUGGCUGUCGUCAGCUCGUGUUGUGAAAUGUUGGGUUAAGUCCCGCAACGAGCGCAACCCUUAUCCUUUGUUGCCAGCGGUUAGGCCGGGAACUCAAAGGAGACUGCCAGUGAUAAACUGGAGGAAGGUGGGGAUGACGUCAAGUCAUCAUGGCCCUUACGACCAGGGCUACACACGUGCUACAAUGGCGCAUACAAAGAGAAGCGACCUCGCGAGAGCAAGCGGACCUCAUAAAGUGCGUCGUAGUCCGGAUUGGAGUCUGCAACUCGACUCCAUGAAGUCGGAAUCGCUAGUAAUCGUGGAUCAGAAUGCCACGGUGAAUACGUUCCCGGGCCUUGUACACACCGCCCGUCACACCAUGGGAGUGGGUUGCAAAAGAAGUAGGUAGCUUAACCUUCGGGAGGGCGCUUACCACUUUGUGAUUCAUGACUGGGGUGAAGUCGUAACAAGGUAACCGUAGGGGAACCUGCGGUUGGAUCACCUCCUUACCU
rnacentral:rRNA from 1 species